GGGUGAGUAACGCGUAGGGCAACCUGCCCAUGUGCUUGGCGAUAACAGAGCGAAAGCUCUGCCAAUACCGGAUACGAUCAUGGAUCGAGAGGUCGAUGAUGAAAGUCUGCCACUCGAAGAAGCAGACGCACAUGGAGGGGCCUGCGUCCUAUCAGCUAGUUGGUAGGGUAACGGCCUACCAAGGCGACGACGGGUAGCUGGUCUGAGAGGAUGAUCAGCCACACUGGCACUGGAACACGGGCCAGACUCCUACGGGAGGCAGCAGUGAGGAAUUUUGCGCAAUGGCCGCAAGGCUGACGCAGCAACGCCGCGUGGGUGAUGAAGGCCUUCGGGUCGUAAAGCCCUGUCAGGUGGGAAGAAAGUCACGAGGUCGAACAGGCUUUGUGUUUGACGGUACCACCAGAGGAAGCACCGGCUAACUCCGUGCCAGCAGCCGCGGUAAUACGGAGGGUGCGAGCGUUAUUCGGAAUUACUGGGCGUAAAGCGCGUGCNGGCUGGAAAGUAAGUCUGAUGUGAAAGCCCUGGGCUUAACCCGGGAAGUGCAUUGGAUACUGCUUUUCUUGAGUACUGGAGAGGAAGGGGGAAUUCCCGGUGUAGAGGUGAAAUUCGUAGAGAUCGGGGAGGAAUACCAGUGGCGAAGGCGCCCUUCUGGACGGUUACUGACGCUNNAGACGCGAAAGCGUGGGGAGCAAACAGGAUUAGAUACCCU
rnacentral:rRNA from 1 species